CGGUGGCUCGCACUGAACUCUGUACGGCAGGAGCGGGGGACCCACAGGUAAGUCGCCGGACCGGUGUCCGCGUGUUCGACGCGCGGACGGCCAGGACCGGCUUGGGGUGAAGCCGCACUUGUGGCCGGGCAACUCCAGCCCGAACCCGACAGCUCACCUCGCAGGCGUCGGAGAGGAAACUU
rnacentral:sRNA from 1 species